GGGCAAUCAUACUUCUCUGCUCACAACAUAUAAACCCCAACUCAUGAUAUACCUCCGAAAUAUAAGUUAGCCAUUCAUCUUAGGGAUUAACAAAAACAAAAGCAAAAAAACAAAAACAAACAAACAAAAACCUUUCCCCCAGCAAGGUAUUAUAAGGUUCUUUUAAAAAUAGGACAAGUAUUGGUGGUUUAUAAAAUCUUGGUACAUUGUAGUCAUUAAUAGAUAGCAACACAUUAAUUAUGUGUAUUCUCACCCUCAUUCUCAUACAAAAUGAGCUGGUAUCAAAAUCACUUUUGAAUCACAUUAAAUAGAUUUGGAGACUGUGGGUGGUGGGAGACGGGGAGGGUCUGCUUUCCCUUUAAAGACAUGUCUGUGCUACCUAGUUCAUUAGCUGUUUCUGUUUCCAAAGUGUUCAGGGAAAUCUUUCAGAUUCAGAAUAUCCACUCUUUAACUUUUUCCCCUGAAUAAUAAGUAGUAAAACUUUUAUUUCUGAUUUUUUUUGAGUGAACACUUUUGCCUUUUCUUCUCUAUCGGGCUAUUAACCAAUCUAGUUGUUUUAGUCUUUGUAACCUACAUAAGGAGUUAUGUUCACAGCAGUAGCAAUGAUACAUCACAUGGAGUUUGAUCCAGCUUUGAGAAUUCCAGGGGUGGGAGGGUCCUCUUCUGAGAGUUUGGCUUGCAAUAAAACAGGAUCAUCAUGUCUUCAGUGUUUUAUGUUUUGUUUUAAAGUAAAAGAGAAAAAAAGUAGAUGAUCCUCUUUGUCCAUCUACUCACUCUCUGGUGUUAUCUCCAUCUGGCUGUCUCAAAGCUUUGAGCCUCCCAGCUCUGAGUAAAUGUACACCAGCAGCUAUUAAUAGCUGAACUCUACAACCGUCUGCUGCCACAGAUGGAAUUGGAGCUUUUGGAGAGGAAAAUCCAUAAAAACUCAUCACAGAAAGCAGCUCAGCCCUUUGUUACCUAAUAUGAUUAAGCUGUCUAUAAAUAAGGGAUGCUCCGAGAAGCCUGGCACUAUCCCUUGUGUGGGGCUUGUGAACCUCACCUGCCAAACUGUUCAUUGAUAGACAAGUCUCUUCAGGGUGGUGUUGAAUGGUUCUGAAUAUUUAUCUAAGGACUAAAUAAAAAAUUGAAAGAGAAUGCACUUCGGAGGUGGAAGGAAAGUUAACUUGAAGGUAAAGCAGCAUUCCACCAUAGCAAAGAAAAAGGAGGAAAUAAAAUCUUUGAGUUAAAGAAUGUAUAUCAUAGGUCGUAAAAACCCAUGGAGAUAUUAUAGAGGGCCGAUUCAAGAAGGUGCUUCCUUGAACGACCCCAUUUGGGGGAAGUAUCUUUGAUGGAUUGUGACAAGCUCUUCAAGUAGGCCAGGGAGACUUCCAAUUCUUUUUCCCCUGAGCCAGGCAGAGACUGCCCGUCUUGAAGAAUUGUCUUAUUGUUUCUAUUUAAGGGUAUAGGAAGACGCUGGAAAAGGGAUUAGAGUGUAUUUCUGGGCUCUCUUUCUCAGUGAUCCCUUUGCUCCUCAGUAUUUACCAAGAGAAUUAAAGGCUUUAUCAAAUCAGAUUAACUGCUUGUGUCAUCUGUUUUAUUCUUGGUAAUAUCAGAGAUGUGAUGAAGCUAGGGGACUGGAAGCACAUACUGUGCGUGAAGUUGAUCUUUUAACAGUGAGUGCAAUAUAGGCAUAGAAAUUCCCUUUACUUUCCAUCUUGAUCCAUGAGGGUAGGAUCUCCUCACUGGGUUUUGUUGAUUUAUCUAACCCCAGGAUGUGCCAUAUUAAAUAUUGCUGAAUAUAAGACAGUUUGCCCUCUCUGGAAAAGGUUCAUAUGCAUUUCUCCUCUGUGCUCUGUGCUGAAGAACAGUACCUCAGUCUUGUCCUCAUAUGAGCCUUUAAGCAUGAUUAAUAUCAUAUAGUGGCGAUCCCCCCUUGCAUUCCCACAGUUUACCUUCCAAGGUCUACUCCGUGACCCAUACUGCAUUUUUUGUUGUUGUUAUACCUUAUAAGAAUUUUCAAACAUAAAUCUCCCUAUGGUGCUUUUGAAAGUGACUCUCAUGUCCAAUAAAAUCAAUUCAUUUAAGAACAUAGUUUAUCCACUUGCAGAAGACAUUUGACAUUUUCUACCGAUAGCUGCUGGUUGAUGGUUGUAGUGUGGAUUUACACUGUUGGAAAAUAAUCCCUGUCAGUUCAGCUGCCUCGUUUUCUUUCUUUCCUGGUUAUUCCAAUUACAUACAGUUUUAACCCUGCGGUAGGCUUAUCAUUGAGGAAAAUGAUAGUGAGAUCGGCAGAAAAAUAAUUAUCAUGUCCUCAUAAGCUAGGCUAAUGGAGAAGCAGAAAUAUUCUGAAAAAUUUCAGUGAAGUAUAUUAAUCACUAUGACAUUACUUGAAUAUCUAUUGAGCACCUGAAUAAGAGCCUAAGUUCC
rnacentral:lncRNA from 1 species